rnacentral:rRNA from 1 species
UACGUAGGGUGCAAGCGUUAUCCGGAAUUAUUGGGCGUAAAGAGCUUGUAGGCGGUUUGUCGCGUCUGCUGUGAAAAUCCGGGGCUCAACCCCGGACUUGCAGUGGGUACGGGCAGACUGGAGUGUGGUAGGGGAGACUGGAAUUCCUGGUGUAGCGGUGGAAUGCGCAGAUAUCAGGAGGAACACCGGUGGCGAAGGCGGGUCUCUGGGCCGAUACUGACGCUGAGGAGCGAAAGCGUGGGGAGCGAACAGG